rnacentral:rRNA from 1 species
CGCCUGAACUGAAACAUCUAAGUAGGGCGAGGAAAAGAAAUCAACCGAGAUUCCGAAAGUAGUGGCGAGCGAAAUCGGAAGAGGCUAAACCGAACUCAGAAAUGAGAUCGGGGUUUAGGACUGCAUUUAGUAUUGAAAUGAGCGAGCAGAAUGCUUUGGGAAAAGCAGCCGAAGAACGUGAGAGCCGUGUAAGCGAAGUGAGUUUCAGCGAGCAGUAUCCAAAGUACCGCGGGGCACGUGAAAUCCCGUGGGAAGAUGGGGGGACCACCCUCCAAGCCUAAAUACUACCCAAUGACCGAUAGCGAAUAGUACUGUGAAGGAAAGGUGAAAAGCACCCCGGGAGGGGAGUGAAAAAGAACCUGAAACCCUGUGCUUACAAGCACUGAGAGCUCGUCAAAGAGUGAUCAGGUACCUAUUGUAGAAUGGUCCGGCGAGUUAUGAUAUGCAGCAAGGUUAAGUACUUAAGGUACGGAGCCGCAGCGAGAGCGAGUCUGAAUAGGGCGUAAAGUUGUAUGUCAUAGACCCGAAACCGAGUGACCUAGCCAUGUCCAGGCUGAAGUGGAGGUAAAACUCCAUGGAGGGCCGAACCGACCUCCGUUGAAAAGGCGGCGGAUGAGGUGUGGCUAGCGGAGAAAUUCCAAUCGAACUCGGAUAUAGCUGGUUCUCUCCGAAAUAGCUUUAGGGCUAGCGUUGCAACAGAUUACCGGAGGUAAAGCACUGAAUAGGCUAGGGGGCGAGAGCUUACUGAACCUUAUCAAACUAAGAAUGCCGGAUAAUUGAUUUGCAGCAGUCAGACAGUGUGAGAUAAGUUUCAUUGUCAAAAGGGAAACAGCCCAGACCCACAGCUAAGGUCCCAAAGUACAUUUGAGUGGAAAAGGAUGUGGGGUUGCAUAGACAACCGGGAUGUUGGCUUAGAAGCAGCCAUACAUUAAAAGAGUGCGUAAUAGCUCACCGGUCGAGUGACCCUGCGCCGAAAAUUCAACGGGGCUAAAAUGUACACCGAAGCUUGGGAUUGUACUUUGUACAGUGGUAGGAGAGCGUCGUAUGAGAGGAGAAGUCAGAGCGGAAGCGCUGGUGGAUUUCAUACGAGUGAGAAUGCCGGAAUGAGUAGCGAGAAUUAUGUGAGAAUCAUAAUGGCCGAAAGUCUAAGGUUUUGGAAGGAAGGUUCGUCCGCUUCCAGUAAGCCGGGAGCUAAGGUGAGGCCGAAAGGCGUAGCCGAUGCACAUACGGUUGAAAUUCCGUAGCCUCCGAAGUAUUUAAACAGAAGGACACUUGAGAAGUGAUGUUGCCGGGCGAUGGUUGACCCGGUCGUAAGGGACCGAAAUUUAGUAGGGAAGUCAUCAUGGAUCGAGGCGAGAAAAGUUCUGUGAAUAUACAAGGAGCCCGUACCGCAAACCGACACAGGUAGAUAGGAAGAAAAUUCUAAGGCCAACGGGAGAAGGGUUGUUAAGGAACUCGGCAAGUUGACCCCGUAACUUCGGAAUAAGGGGUGCUCUCGAGAGAGAGCCGCAGAGAAUAGGCCCAGGCGACUGUUUAGCAAAAACACAGCUCUAUGCUAAAUCGAAAGAUGAUGUAUAUGGGGUGACACCUGCCCGGUGCCGGAAGGUUAAGAGGAGGCGUGAGAGCGCUGAAUUGAAGCCCCGGUAAACGGCGGCCGUAACAAUAACGGUCCUAAGGUAGCGAAAUUCCUUGUCAGGUAAGUUCUGACCCGCACGAAUGGCGUAACGAUUUGGGCACUGUCUCAACAGCCUACCCGGCGAAAUUGUAGUACCGGUGAAGAUGCCGGUUACCCGCGACUAGACGGAAAGACCCCAUGGAGCUUUACUGCAGCUUAAUGUUGAAUUUCGGUAUUUCAUGUACAGGAUAGGUGGGAGACUGGGAACUACAGGCGUCAGCUUGUGGGGAGUCACUGUUGGGAUACCACUCUUGAAGUGCUGGAAUUCUAACCUGCGGCCUUGAAUCAGGUCGGGGGACAUCGUUAGGCGGGCAGUUUGACUGGGGCGGUCGCCUCCAAAAGAGUAACGGAGGCGCUCAAAGGUUCGCUCAGCAUGGACGGAAACCAUGCCAAAGAGUGCAAACGCAAAAGCGAGCCUAACUGCGAGACUGACGGGUCGAGCAGUAACGAAAGUUGGAGUUAGUGAUC